rnacentral:rRNA from 1 species
GAUGAACGCUGGCGGCGUGCCUAAUACAUGCAAGUCGAGCGCACAGACGAGGUGCUUGCUCCUCUGACGUUAGCGGCGGACGGGUGAGUAACACGUGGAUAACCUACCUAUAAGACGGGGAUAACUUCGGGAAACCGGUGCUAAUACCGCAUAAUAUAUUUAACCGCAUGGUUCAAUAGUGAAAGACGCUUUUGCUUUCCCCAAUGGAUGGAUCCGCGCGGCAUUAGCUAGUUGGUAAGUAAACGGCCUACCAAGGCAACGAUGCGUAGCCGACCUGAGAGGGUGAUCGGCCACACUGGAACUGGACAACGGCCCAAACUCCUACGGGAGGCGGCAGAAGGGAAUCUUCGGCAAUGGGCGAAAGCCUGACGGAGCAACGCCGCGUGAGUAAUGAAGGUCUCCGGAUCGUAAAACUCGGUUGUUGGGAAAGAACAAAUGUGUAAGUAACUGCGCACGUCUUGACGGUACCUAAUCAGUAAGCCACGGCUAACUACGUG